CUUGCACAAAAUCAACUUUUAAAAGGCAGGCCAGGUCUACUGGAACCCAGGUCUUUAAGCCUUGAAAGACAAUGCAGCAUGCCUGGAAAAAGAAAAGGUUUUGGGAGCAGACACCUGAGCUCAGUGUUGCCGCAGGACUUCAUGCUAUCCCUGGGCCACAGGUACUUCAGCUCACACUGGACUUGGAGCCCGACCCCACCCAGCUUCCCACUGCCAUCUGGUGGUCAUCUGGAGCCCAGGGCCCAGCUCCUGAUGGGCCUUCAUCAGCAAUCUCCUUCAGAGUGCUGCAAAGCCUGUGGGCAACCCUACUUCCGCCCCUGAAAAAGUUGGCAUGAGAAAGAAAGGCCCGAUAUCUUGCCUCCAAUGGUGGCAGAGAAGUAUGAGCACAAAAAUCCAGAUAAUGUGCCAAACACAAAAACCAGGACUUUAUAAGAAACAACACCGAAGCUGCUGAUGCCUCAAAUCCUGCCUUCCACUGGCAUGUUGGAUCUGGUCACCCAUGAACACAGACAUCAAAGCAAUACCCAUGUGUCUGUGGUGAUCAUGGACAGCAUGCAACUGAUUGUGGAUGAUAGCUGGGCAAAUGGGGAUAUCCAAAUGUCAAUGGGUACUCACUGAAGGAGCAGAAAUAAUAUGGAAGGAUGUACAGGUAAUAUCAGAGUGAACAUUGGAUAAUAAUUUAGUUUUUGAGAUAAUAUCUAGGUGGGUGAGAGUAAUACAUAUUUUUGUGGACAAGGUCUGAGAAGGGUUUAACUACGUGUCUGUAGAUAAUGCCUGACUGAGAGUGGGCAAAUUUAGACUGUGCAGAGGUAAUAUGUCUGCGGAUAACAUCUCGUUUGGUAGAUAACAUCUUCAGAAAACGUGGAUUAUAUUCAGAGGUCUGAACUGAAUGGGGGAAUAUCCAAAUGAUGAUGGUAGUAGCUGAGUAAGCAGAAAGUAAUAUUCAAGUAUGUGUAGGCAAUAUUUAGGUGAGCAUGGAUGUGAGAUGUUAACAUGUUAAGAUGUGAAGUGAGAGAUCAAUCUGAGUAAAAUAACUCAGUGCCUGAGUGAACACACGUGAUAUCUGAGUCUUUGUGGUUAAUAUCUGAAUGUGUGAGACUAAUAACCAUGAUUUUAUGGGUGAUAUCUGGAAAAGGUUAGUUAAGUGAGCAUGGGUGAUAUCUAUGUGUGGAUGAUAAAAUGAAAGCAAGUGUGUCUGAUGGGUGAGUGACAUCUAAAUGACUAUGGGCAUUGUUAAAGUAACUGUGGGUGAUACCUGGUUUUCAGUGGUGGCAUCUGAGUGAACAUUAGCACUCUGGUCUAUGUGGGUAACAUAUAAGAAUAAUGUGGGUAACAUCCACAUUUCUACUGGUAACACUGGAGUGAGCCUGGCUAACAUGUAGUAUCUGAGUGAGUGGCAAACAGUCUUUGUGGGUAACUUCUGACUGCCUGGGUAACAUCCACUCUGUGUAGGUAACAACAUCCAGAUAAGCAAGGCCAAUUCUUGCACCUGUGCUCUGAAUCACUUCAUGUUCUGCUUUCUCAGGGUCCCCUGCUCUGUGGACUGUCCCUGCUCUCUGCUGAGCCUUUGACCUUCCUUUCCUCUGUCUUGGCCCAUGCUGCAUCAACAUUUUCAAAAGACUCUUGCCUCUACUGCACACACAUAUACCCAAAGACAACCCCCACCACAUACCAUUCCUCAAUCCCAUGCUCUUUCUGGCACUAUCCUAUUUUUUCUUUGCUUCUCUCUCCCUCCCAAAUUUCUGGAAAGUUUCAUCUACACACCCUGGUUCACUUCUCAUAACCUCCUCAUGCACCCUCCCAAACCUCAACCAACUGUAGUCAGGCCUUAAUACCCACAACUCCUCUUAAGGACUUCUUUGUUACUGGAUCUGAAGGAUGCUGUUUUGUCCUUAUUCGACUUAUAUCAGCACCAUAUGACAUCACUUAUCCCACCCUGCUUGAAAUCUUUCCCUUCCCUCUGAUGGUUUCAUCAUGGGCUCUCCAUCUUUUUGCCUGGCUUUUAAAUCUCAGUCUUUUUCAGGGUCCUGCCCUGGGACCUGUUUUCUUUUCAUCUUGUCAUCUUUGUAUGAUUUUAGCUAUUCCUGUGGCUUCCAUUACCUUCUGUAGGCAAAGACCUUUUAAGUCUGUAUUCCCAGCUUGCACCCCUCCCCUAAGUUCCUGACCACCAGAUUCAACAGCUUACUGGCUACCCCACCUGGGUAUCUCAACAGCACUUAAACUCAGUGGGUUCCAAAGUGAAUUUAUAGUUCUUCUCUUUCAAAUUUGUUUCUGUUCCUUUGUUAUCUUUCUCAUGAUAUAGCACCAACAUCCAUCUAAUUGUCCAAGCUAGACACCUGGAUGUCAUCCUUUGACCUCUUCCUCCCUCUCCAUUUCUAAUGAAUCCCUACCAAGUUCUGUUGACUCCACUUCCAGAAGUGCCUCUCGAAUCCAUCCACUUCUCUCCAUACCCACUGCCAAAACCUUAGUCCAAGCCCAUAUCAUCUUUUAUCAGAGAAACAGAAUAGCCUUCUAAAGUGUCCACCCCAUCCCCCACCCUUUCAUGUCUUGUCCUCCAAUCCAUCUUCUACACUAUAGAACUAAUCCUGGCUGUACUACAGAGUCUUUCAGUAGUUCCCAUCAUCCUCAGGAUAAAAAUCUACACUCCUUAGCCAGGUCUGUGAGGCUCUUUGUAAACCCUCUAGGUUGGUGCUCAUCCUGAGUGUUCAUUUUUCCUCUCUUUUGAUGUAUGUUUCAGGCACUCAGAAACUGACACACUGAACGAAAGUACCAUGGAUUUUAACUUUGGGCGUUUACACAUAUUGUUCCUCUGCUUAGAAUGCUUCUUGCCUUUCCUGCCCCUUCGCUUGUCUGGCUUUCCCUUGUCUUUUUAAAUUUUUCUUCAAUUACCUUCUCAGGAGGCCCACUUUGACCCCCAAGGCUAAGCUAGACUAAAGCUCCUCUUCUGUGUUCCCACAGCCUUAAUCUAAGGCACAUCCCACUUUGUGCUGCAAUUCCCUGCUUACUUGUCUGGCUCUCCCACUAAACUGUGAACUCCAUGAAAUAGGAACUGUGUUCAUUUUUUCUCUGGUUCAAUAAAUAUUUGUAGAAUAAAGCAAUCUGAGAGUGUGUAAAAACUGGUCUGAGAAAGCAUAUACAUUAUUUUGUGGGAUAAAUACUCAAAUUAAAAUUUAUUGCCAUUUUCCCUUCUUGAACGUGGAAUAAUUUCCUUCUGCUCAGCAGUGCUCCCUCUCUUAGAAUCCCCCUGCUUCCUUUUUCUGCCUACUGAACUCCAACUUCAAGACCCAGCUCCUGGGUUCCCUUGUCUAUGAAGUUCUUGGAUCCCAUCUCCUUUGGAUGCCCACAAUUCAGACCCUCUCCUGGGACUUCUCAGAGGGACUGUGAUUUUCCAACUGGUUUGUCUCCCUUCUGCACUUGACUAUGGACCGAUGAGGGUCCAGACCGGGUCUGUUUCAUCCCUGUGUCCCCAGCACCUAGCUCAGC